GAGUAUUUGGUUUAGUGAUAGAAUGUUGAAUUCUUAGUUCUAGUUGGUAAGGUUCGAUUCCUAUCAGUCUCA